GGUUGCUUUUCAUUAGGCCGUGUGUCAGUAAGUAUAACAGUUAUUUACAAUAUCGAAAAGAAAAUAAACAAAAACACAGAAAUAGAAAUACAUUCACUCUACUUUAUUCCUUUCGUUCCAAAUUUUAGCAGCAGCACAGCCAAAGGUGCGAACCAUAGAAUUUGUUUUCAGUUUGGGCAAUGUUAAAUUUUUUUUUGCUUCUUAAAUCAUAUCUUUCAGAAUUCGAUAUUUUAAAAUUUUUAGCUAUAUUUUCCGGGCAAUUACCGGUAAUAGCUUUCAAAACAUACGCACUUGCUUUUUCUUUUCUUUUUUCGGAUAGGUCUUUCCAAUUCAACUUUUUUUAAAUAUCUUUUGAGCGUAUAUCAUAAGUAUCACGUGUAAUGACCUAACUGCUGUCCUGUUUUGAAGUUUCUGCAGUUUUUCCUUCAGGGAUUCGCCGCAGUUGCCCCAAACCAGUGCAAUACUCAAAAUAAUAGGUUCAACCAUAUAAUUAUAAAGAAAUUGAAGCGUUUCUCUUUUAACAAACUGUUUAGCUCGUCGUAACAUGCCGAUGCUUUGAGAUACUUUCUUACUUAUGUCAUCAAUUUGUCAAUCUAUCCCAGCGUAAUUGAUCAUCUAUUAUUGUGCCUAAGACUUAUUUAGAAACGACUUGUGUUAAGUUUUUCCCACCGAUGUUAAUAUUCAUGUCACUUGAGAAAUUUUUGAAUUUCUGCCGUGUUCCGAUAAUCAUAUACUCCGUUUUAUCAACAUUCAAAGUUAAUUUAUUGGCUACGACUAUCCACUGAUGGAUAUUGUUCAAGUUCGAAUUCAAAAUGGCUUGUAAAUAGUUAACAUCAUCAGAACACGCCGUCAAAUUCGUAUCAUCCGCAUACAUUUCAGCACUAUAGUGUUUGAGACAGUUCGGUAGCGAUCGUUGACAUACAAGAGAAAUAACAAUGGACUGAGAUUUGAACCCUGUAGUACUCCACAGCGUAUAUUUUUUGUUGACGAUGCUGCACUCGCUACCUUGCAAAACUGUUUUCGAUCAAAUAAAUAUGAAAUAAACCACUUGAGGGCAGUAUUUUUAACUGCUUAAUAAGGAUUUCAUGAUCAACCGCAUCAAAUGCUUUACGCAGAUCAAGUCCAGCAUCCAUA